rnacentral:hammerhead_ribozyme from 1 species
ACCCAGCUGACGAGUCUCAAAUAUGACGAAUCUCUCGUCCUGGAU